rnacentral:rRNA from 1 species
UACGAAGGGGGCUAGCGUUGUUCGGAAUCACUGGGCGUAAAGCGCACGUAGGCGGACUUUCAAGUCAGGGGUGAAAUCCCGGGGCUCAACCUCGGAACUGCCUUUGAUACUGACAAUCUCGAGUCCGAUAGAGGUGGGUGGAAUUCCUAGUGUAGAGGUGAAAUUCGUAGAUAUUAGGAAGAACACCGGUGGCGAAGGCGGCCCACUGGAUCGGUACUGACGCUGAGGUGCGAAAGCGUGGGGAGCAAACAGG